rnacentral:lncRNA from 1 species
AAGAGAACACAGCUGAUCCAAUGUUGAAACAGUACCCAGUUGUGGAUUUUAAGUCCUCGACGCAUCCUCCGUAAUUGCUGUCAGAGUAUCCAAUUAACCUUGGUUCCUCAACGGUAGAGUAAUACAUUCCCAUAUCAACAGUCCCUCUGAUGUAUCUAAGAACUCUCUUUGCUUCAUUAAGGUGCUUGACUCUAGGUUCCUUAAGAUACCUUGAAAGAUAAGAUGCAGCAAAUGUCAGAUCGGGACGAGUUGCAGUCAAGUACAGUAGGCCUCCAACAAGACUUCGAUAAACUAUGCAGUCUGUAAGUUCUCCUUUUUCUUCUUCGUGUUUGCUUUGAGGUAUGAGAGGAGUGUUCACAGCUCUGCAGUUUUCCAUGUUGAACUUCUUUAACAAUUUCUUUGCAUAACACUCUUGUGACAGAAAGAAUCCUUCCGAUUCUUGGAUAAUCUCCAUACCCAAGAAAUAGUUCAACAGUCCAAGGUCAGACAUUUCAAACUCAUUCUUCAUCACCAUCUUGAAUUCUUCAAUCAUAUUCAAGUCGUCACCUGUCACAAUAAGAUCAUCAACAUAUAUGCAUACCACUAGUAAUUUUCCUUCGAUUUCUUUUGUGAAUAGAGCAUGAUCAUUAUCACUCCUUUUGAAGUUUUCCCGGUUGAAGAAUUCUUCAAUGCGGCUAUACCACGCCCUCGGAGCCUGUUUUAGACCAUAAAGAGCCUUAUGCAAACGGAACACACAAUCUUCCUUUCCUUCUUCUUCAAAACCAGGUGGUUGUUCUGCAUAUAUUUCUUCUUCUAAUGUUCCAUUCAAGAAAGCAGAUUUAACGUCUAGUUGAAACAGUUUCCAUUUCCUUUGAGCCGCAACAGCAAGAAUUAACCUGAUAGUUUCAUGUCUUGACACAUGAGCAAAGGUUUCAUGAUAGUCAACCCCAUAUUGCUUUGUGUCUCACCACAUUUCCUUGAGCAUCAGUUUUUAAUCUGAAUAUCCACUUGACUCCUACCACAUUCUUGUCAGAAGGUCUUUCGAGAAGCUCCCAUGUUUGAUUUUUCUCAAUGGUUUGAAUCUCAUCUACCAUUGCAAGUCUCCAUUCCUUGUGUUUUGCGGCUUCCUCAAAUACAGCAGGUUCCUCUUCGAUGCCAACAUAGCAGCUUUCACAAGAUCCAGAAUAUUCAACAUUAGCAUAAGGGGCAUUCAAGAGGAUAUCUUCAAUAGUUCUGGUUUUCUUGUUUUGCAGGUUUGAGUCACUUUCUGGGCUGUCGAGGUUUAAGCUCAAUGGACUCGGAAGAGUACGUCUUUUCCCUAUAUCUUCAUUGUCCUUUAAUGAUGUCUCUCCAGUUGUUGGGUUUUCUUCUUCAUCCUUUGACUCGCUUGAUAGGUCAUAGGUUUUUGUAACUUCCUUCUUAUCCCAAUUCCACUUGCUUCCCUCAUCAAAUAUGACGUCUCUUGAGAUGUCAAUCUUGUUUUCUUCCAGCAGGUACAGUCUAUAUCCUUUUGUUUGAGAGCUGUAUCCUACAAAUAUACCUCUCUUUGACUUGUCAUCCCAUUUCUUCCUUUUUUCGUCUGGAAUGUGGACAUAACAUAUACUCCCAAACACUCUCAUGUGUUCCAACGAUGGUUUAGUUCCAUCCCAUGCUUCAAUAGGGGUAAUACUUUCUAAGGCUCUUGUUGGGGUUCGAUUCUGGACGUACGUAGCAACGUGAACUGCAUCAGCCCAAAAUUUUAGAGGUAAUCCCUGGCUUUGAUCAUAGCUCUUGCCAUUUCAACUAAGCUUCUGUUUCUUCUUUCUGAAACUCCAUUUUGUUGUGGAGAAUAUUCAGCAGUGAGUUGUCUUUCUAUUCCAUUUUCUUCAAGAAAUUCUGUGAACUCUUUUGAAAGAUACUCAGAUCCUCUGUCGGUUCGAAGCUUCUUGAUUUUGCAGUUUGAGUUAUUUUCAACAAGACUCUUAAACUUUCUAAAUGUUUGAAAGACCUCAGACUUGGCUCUCAGAAAAUAAAUCCAAACCAUUCUUGUUGCAUCAUCAAUAAAUGUGAGAAUGUACCUGUUUCCAUUUAUUGACAAGUUCUGCAUUGGUCCACAUAAGUCGCUGUGAAUUAGCUCCAGUUUCACUCUUGCUCUGGUCUUAGAUUCCUUCGGAAAGGGAUCACGAGAAUGCUUGCUUAGAAUGCAUGAUUCACAUUUUUCUGCUUCUACUUUGAACUUUGGUAAGCCGACCACCAUGUCUUUUGAUUGCAUAAUCUUCAGAUUUGAAUAUCCAGUGUGCCCGAGCCUCUUAUGCCAAAUUGUUGCAUCUUCAUUCUUAGCCAUCAUUGCAGUUUCUUCACUUGCUUGCCACUUUAUGUGAAAACUUUUGUUUCUCAUCGGAACUUCUCCGAUUUUUCUUCUUGUCCUAUCAUGAAUGAUGCAUUUAUUUUCUUUGAAGGUGACUUGGUAACCAUUGGAGAUCAUCUGCGGCACACUUAGGAGAUUUUUUCCCAGCUUAGGUACAAGGAAGACAUCUCGUAUGACUCUUUUCCCUUUCAUUGUCAUCACUUCAAUAUCUCCCUUUCCUUUAGUUAUGAGUGCAACACCAUUCCCAACUUUAAUAGGGACAUUAACACUUGUGUUUAUUCUGAUGAAGAUCUUCUCGUCUGGAGUCAUGUGAUUAGUGCACCCGCUGUCAAUGAGCCAUGAGUUUUCUUCAUUCAAAUCUUGUUUUUCUUGUCUUGCAACGAACGUAUGAUUCUCUUCUCUUUCAAGUACUGUCUCAGCAGCAAUCUUCGACUCCCACUCUGGUGAGCCCUCUCUUCUCUCCUUGAUAGCUCCUCUGAGCACCAACACAGGUUUUCCAGUUUCUUCACACAUCUUCACAACGUUAGGUUCCAUGAAUCAGCUAGUGCUCUGAUACCAUGUUGAAAAGCUUGUAGAAUCACAGAAAAAUAGCAAGAUCAAAUUUAGACAAAGAUUUUGAGAGCAAAACAGAGAAAAACGUUUAUCUCUUCAUAUUCCCAUAUCUCUCUCUCAAUAACCAUUUUUCUCUCUUUUAUCCAGAGAGUAUCACAUGCACUCAAGCACCUACAGCUCUCUACAGCCACCCUAGGACUCUACAAAUACAUUGGAACUCAAAAACAAACAACGACAAAGUAAAACACACUCAAACAACUUGAUGGGCCUUCAUACAAACAAAAGCCCAACGAACAAAACACCCAGCCCACAAAUAAGCUUCUUCUCCUUCUUCGACACACCAACGAUGGUUUGUAACACAUAACACAUCACUUAACAAAAAUUCAAGUCUCGAAUCCUGAAGUUGAUCAGAAUACUCAUUAGUCGAUUUACCUUGCUUUCAGGUACUGUUGGGCGUGUAGAUCCCUUGUGUGAACUGAUUGAACUUGUGUUGAAGGUUUCUAGCUCUUUGACGUGUUAUAGGGCCUUCAGGUAUGUAUGGAACCUCAAUCUCCAGCCUUUGGUUUACUUCCAUGUCCUCCAAAUCUUGGUCUGAUUCGAUGUCCGCAUCACUUGUAGAUGUGAAUAUUAGGAAUGGUACAAUCUUUUGGUUUGUUACUUUUGUUUAUGGCAAUUCUGUGACCAAUUUGAAAGAUUUGGUUUGGGAAAUAAUGAAUACAAUUGGUUAUUUCAAUGAGAUGUUAUCUAAUGAGGAAAAGCUAGGUGAUCUUCAAAGACAAACUUCCUAUAACAUUUGCAGACUCUCUUGAAGAAUUGUGAUAUGUAUGAAUUAGAAAGUUUUGAUAAUGG